CGGCCCAAGAAAUGGCAAAAAGACAAAAAAAAAAAAAAAGAAUGGAAAAGGGGAGAAGCCUCCCCUUUAUCACCCUUUAUCACUUUCCCCAUUUAAGGCUUGGGUUUGAGGAGUCUCAUUUUCCUGGGCUAGAGUAACUGGAAAUUCCAAGUACUUGUGGCUUGCUCUGAUCUGUGUCCAGGUGGGAUGGCUGCUCUUUGGAAAUGGCAGAUGGGCAGGAGGGGCCUGGGUCAAAGUUCUGGGAAACUAUCCACAAUCACAGAGUAUCACCUCAAAUGAAAGGUUGUCACCAGAUCUCAUGUUACAGGGGGACCUUCAAAGCCCUGGACCCCUCCUUCUGUCACAUACACAUACACUGCCCCUCUUCUCUAAGGACAGUGCCAAAAUCAAGGGCAAAGACCCAGAAUGACCUUUACGGACUGCCUCAUCCCACAGUGCAGCAGGGUUCCUGCUCACUCUGACCCUUGCUUCUCCUACUUGUCCAUGGCGGGAGGAUGUCCUGCAGGGGGAUGGGAGCAGAUCAGAGUGGGGCUGGUGAGUAUGGCUGUGCCAGGGUCAGGGGUUUAGUGUCAGUAGGAGAUGGUGGCAGCCUGGGUCAGCAGAAGGAAGCAGCUGGUACAUCAGGAAGUCAGUGUGUUUCAAGCAUGGGAGGGAUGUCAAUGGGACUUCGCUGCCAGGGAGUGGCUGGCUGUCACAGUGGCUGGAAAUUCACGGGCUUUGGCUCUUCUGAAAGUGCCAGGCAGCACAGUCACCAUUUCUCACCAUUUUUAAAGAAAUGACUGCACCCAUGGCAUAUGGAAGUUACCUGGCUAGGAAUCAAAUUUGAGCUGCAGCUGUGACCUAUGCCACAGCUAUGGCAAUGCUGGCUCCUUAACCAAUUUUGCCACAACAGAAACUCCUCACCAUUUUUUAAAUAGUCUAUGAAUGGACUGACCUGUUGGCAGGCACCCUUUCCCUGACAUUUCUGUCUGUAGAGUGCUACCUAGGGAACGCAGCCUGUCCUGUCAGCCUUGACAGUCAUACUGUAGAAGAAGAAAUUUAUAACUUGCCAGACUCCAUAUCAGUUGGGGGCAACUGGCCCAGCAGCAGAAGAGGAAAGAGCACAGAACUAACAGGGGAGGAACACAGAACUAGCAGCAGCAGCGCUGAGUCAUUUCUUCCCUGUGCAAAUACAUGAAAACCAGAGAAUCCUCUUCUGCCCAUUUGGCAAAGGGAACUCCUUCUUGAAGGCAGUGGCAUGACUAAGAUGACCACCAGCAGAUCAGAUCAGGAUCAGAGAAACAGAUCCUACUUCUUGCCUGAGUUUGCAGUCCUCGAGCACAGCAGCCUGCAGCAGUACAGAACUAUGGACAGCAGAGGGAGCUCUUGCCUAACCUUUUCGCCACGUCGAGCCGCUUCCGAGAACCUGAACUUCUGGUAAUUUGCCUCUGAAGUCUGGGUGACUGCAGGGGAGUGCAUGGCUGGAGUAACAAUAGGGAUGACUACGAGCUCGUAACUUCACCGUUAGGUACUCACCCAGAAGAGGAAGUGCCCUCUUGCGAUCUCCCCCACCAACAGUCUACUACCCCUUUCUCAACUGCACUUCAUACUCAGCCACCUGUGGCUUCCAAGGAGAGGUUCUCCUCAGCAGCACCCCUGCUCUUCCUUGCCGUGAUCCUCUCCCAACUGCCAAGAAAGAGAGAUAUCCUCAACCACUUCUCUUGACUCUGGGAAAUCUCCCCGAAGUCUCGUGGAACUGCCAUCCACCCACCUCAGAGGCCAGGAUGAGAGGAGAAGGGGCUCUAAAUGCAUCUGACCCAAACGCACUCCCGAGCGGGAUGUGUCUCUCCGGGACACCUGGCGUCAAAUGCCCUUCUCCGCUUGAGGCCCAGUGUAGUUUUCUCACCUGCAAAUUACUAAGACUCUGAACCCUAAACUUGUGGGUUCUCCCUAUGCACCUUCUCUGUAUCCUGCAGCUUGACCCAGAGGUCUCAUUCCCUCCCCGCUCCCACCCACUGAGUUCAAUCGCAAGCCGGUAUGGAAGGAAGGGAAGACCUAAGAGGUCAAGGGCACGGGAUGCGACCUGCGCAAACGCUAAUCCCCUAGCCGUCUAGGAAAUCGAGAUCUGAUGAGGGGCGCUAGAAACUGUUACGAUCUGGCAGCCACGAAGUGCAGGACGCAGUGUGGCAUGGCGGGCUGGAACUCCUAGAUGAGACCCAGACCCGCCUGCUUCCUCCGCGAAAUAGGGGCGGUGGGGAGAGUUUGCCUUCCUUAAGGGGAGAUGUGAAUCGGAUCAGUAUGGAGGGAGCCUGGACUGGGACCAGUAGAGGUGGUGCUUCCCUUGCCAUCCAGGCCUACCUGCCUGGCUCCAGAGGCCUUAACAGCGUCCUCAGAGGUUGCCAAGCUCCUCCCAGGGGUAGGUGGGCUUGAAAGAAUAUCAGAUCUCCCUUUGGGCCUGCAAAGUCCCCUCAACACCACAGGCCCUCGCUCCCGGUUCUCACCAGCGCUGGAGCGGCGGGGACUCCAAGCCCAGCGCGCUGGGAUGCGGGAGAGUGUGGGCCUGCCGAGUGGGUGGUCCAGUACAAAACGAAUCUAGGAUUCUGGAAGAAAUUGGGAAAGAUAUUGGGUGUCCGCCGCCCCAAGGUCCCCACCCUUUUCAGAAUCUUAGAUACCGAGCGCGGACCGUUGGGGGAGGGGGGAUAGAGCCCGCCACCGAGAGUCCCCGCCCCCUCCCCGAGGCCGGAGGUAUUAGUGCUGCUUGAUCAGACCUCAUUUCCUGCGAAAAUGGAAACAUAUCCAGGGUUCUUAAUAAAGUGAAUGACGAGA